rnacentral:misc_RNA from 1 species
GAAAAUAUUAAUAAAUAACUGUCUAUCUUUUAGUGCAUAGUCAUGAGUUAGCUCAAUAUGUCUUCCAUAAAGUGAGAAACCCAUUGCUUUCAAAGUUCAGAGACCUACUCUUAAACAAAGAUAUGCUGGAACGCAUGAAAUGUUAUGCCUAUUCAAGUGUGAUAGCGGACAAUCACCGAGGUGGGUAUUUAAAAAGAAGACCUGAACUGUAUGGACAUAAGAGUAUGAUUUCUGUUACCUUAUCCCAGUAAUAAUACCAGCA